rnacentral:rRNA from 1 species
GACGAACGCUGGCGGCGUGCUUAACACAUGCAAGUCGAACGAUGAAGCUGGAGCUUGCUCCGGUGGAUUAGUGGCGAACGGGUGAGUAACACGUGAGCAAUCUGCCCUUGACUCUGGGAUAACUGCGGGAAACUGUAGCUAAUACCGGAUAUCGCGCUUGGAGGCAUCUCUGGGCGCUGAAAGAAUUUCGGUCAAGGAUGAGCUCGCGGCCUAUCAGCUAGUUGGUGAGGUAAUGGCUCACCAAGGCGACGACGGGUAGCCGGCCUGAGAGGGUGACCGGCCACACUGGGACUGAGACACGGCCCAGACUCCUACGGGAGGCAGCAGUGGGGAAUAUUGCACAAUGGGCGAAAGCCUGAUGCAGCAACGCCGCGUGAGGGAUGAAGGCCUUCGGGUUGUAAACCUCUUUUAGCAGGGAAGAAGCGAAAGUGACGGUACCUGCAGAAAAAGCACCGGCUAACUACGUGCCAGCCGCCGCCGUAA